rnacentral:sRNA from 1 species
AGAAAGACACUCUGCAGGUUGACUGCGAUGACCCGCUGAAAGUCUUCCAACGGGUAGUCUUCAAUCCGCUUUGCGGGGCCGGUUAUCCCGGCAUUGUUGAAGGCGGCAUCGAGCCGUCCGGAUGUGGAGC